rnacentral:rRNA from 1 species
AUUGAACACUGGCGGCAGGCCUAACACAUGCAAGUCGAGCGGAUGAGAAGAGCUUGCUCUUCGAUUCAGCGGCGGACGGGUGAGUAAUGCCUAGGAAUCUGCCUGGUAGUGGGGGACAACGUUUCGAAAGGAACGCUAAUACCGCAUACGUCCCACGGGAGAAAGCAGGGGACCUUCGGGCCUUGCGCUAUCAGAUGAGCCUAGGUCGGAUUAGCUAGUUGGUGAGGUAAUGGCUCACCAAGGCGACGAUCCGUAACUGGUCUGAGAGGAUGAUAAGUCACACUGGAACUGAGACACGGUCCAGACUCCUACGGGAGGCAGCAGUGGGGAAUAUUGGACAAUGGGCGAAAGCCUGAUCCAGCCAUGCCGCGUGUGUGAAGAAGGUCUUCGGAUUGUAAAGCACUUUAAGUUGGGAGGAAGGGCAGUAAGUUAAUACCUUGCUGUUUUGACGUUACCGACAGAAUAAGCACCGGCUAACUCUGUGCCAGCAGCCGCCGUAACAC